rnacentral:rRNA from 1 species
UACGUAGGCAGCAAGCGUUGUUCGGAGUUACUGGGCGUAAAGGGUGCGUAGGCGGCCCUGUAAGUAUGGUGUGAAAUCUCCCCGGCUUAACUGGGAGGGUGCGCUAUAGACUGCGGGGCUCGAGUGUGGGAGAGGAAAGUGGAAUUCCUGGUGUAGCGGUGAAAUGCGUAGAUAUCAGGAGGAACACCGGUGGUGUAAACGGCUUUCUGGACCAUAACUGACGCUGAGGCACGAAAGCGUGGGUAGCAAACAGG